rnacentral:tRNA from 1 species
GGCCCAGUGGUCUAGGGGUUUGAUGCUCGCUUAGCGGGCGAGUGGCCCCGGGUUCGAAUCCCGGCUGUGCCC